ACUCCAGUGAAGUUGGGGAGGGAGGAGGGACGCCCCUGUUUGCUUCUCUUCGCAGAUCCGUCUGGUUUUCUUUACGGUGCUCUCUAAGCUCCAGUCAGAACAAUCUCUCCCUAAUCUGGCAUCUGAUAAAUGGACGGGCUCCAGGAGGCCUGCGAUUCCGCCCCCCCCUUCCACCCCCCGCCACUUGCAAUAUUACACAUGCAGUAGUCUGUGUAUUACUCGGGGAGAGGGCUCUAACUGAUCAGAUUCUCAAGUGUCCGUGUCUUCGCUGUUACAACUGUACAAUACCUCUUGCUGUGUUGGAUCCUUCCUGUCCGAGGAGCCAGUGUCCGAUUGUGUGUAUGUGUACGGGGGGUGGGGAGUUGUUACACACGUGUGUAAUGGGUGUGCGAAGGUGAGAAACGUCCCUAGCACUGGCCUGCGCUCGGAACACCUGGCUGAAUGCACCUCUUCCUAACUAUGUGCCCUUGGUUUGGCUUGAUUUUGCCUUCCUGCGCAUCUUUAUUUAUGCAAUACCGCCCCCUCAUGGUUAGGGCUGGGAACGGCGUCAAGGAUGGAAGUACUCAUACGAACGACACAAGUCCGCAGGGACCAAAUCAAGAGAGGACACAAGGUGUGACUACAUCUUAUAGAACAAGUGAUGAGAAGUCGAAGUAGCCAAAUUUCAGAAUGCUGUGAAUGUUAAAUUGCACCACAGGAUUGGUUCAGCAAAAUUCAGCGGCUGGAAACGCUACUGGACAAACAACUGAGUUCCAUUAGUAAAUUACAAGGAGAGAGAUGGAGA